rnacentral:tRNA from 1 species
GCAGUGGCGGUUCAGUGGUAGAACUCUUCCCUUCCAUGCAGGAGACCCAGGUUCAAUUCCCAGCCAUUGCA